rnacentral:rRNA from 1 species
AUGGUCCUCGUCCACCAUGGCCUCUCCUAUCUUAUCGAGCACCCCCCUCCCCCAAACGCCGAUUCCCGGUACCUUGAGCUCGACGCCCAUGUCGCCCUGGGGGUGUAUGCCACCCUUGCGGACUCCAUCAUCGACCAUGUCAUCGGCGCCACCACCACCAACGAUCUCUGGACCCGGAUCAACGCCUACUUCCUCGCCAACCGCGCUGCUCGGUACAUGACGCUCAACCGGCAGUACCGGAAUCUCAAGCAGGGAGAUCUCUCGGUCGCCGAGUAUGCGCGACGCAUGAAGCUGCUCACCGCCGGCCUCGCCGACAUCGACCAUGCCGUCACCGAGGUCGACCUCACCACCCAGUUCCUCCAUGGCCUUGAUGGGCGCCUUGACACCAUCCGGGUCGUUCUGGGCGACAUCGUUCCCCUGCCACCGUUCGAGACCGUCUUCUCGCGC